GUUCAAAGGAGACACCUAAAUUGUUUGAACUUAACAACUUAAAACUCAGAGGUUCUAAAUCCAAAUUUCAUUAGGAAGAAAGAUUGAUACCUAAGGUAGCCAAAUAGUAUUUCCUGAUAAAAACAGAAAAGGGUGUCAUAAUUAUAGUGUUGUGCAUUUGCAAAAGCUGCAGAUUAGUGUUGUCUUGCAGUUACUUUGUGAAAAACUCUACAAAUCCAGAUGUCACCUCUGAAAAACCAAGUUCUUUGCACAAUGUAAGUUCUACACGCUCAAGGGCCUUAGGAUUGUUAAAACUUAUGAGAAACUAGUUGUUAGGAAGAGGAAAUAUUGGAAAAAGACUUAAAAUCUCUGGCACUUACCUUUCAUGAGAGCUGUUGCAU
rnacentral:misc_RNA from 1 species